GAUGAAGAACGCAGCGAAAUGCGAAAAGUAAUGUGAAUUGCAGAAUUCAGUGAAUCAUCGAAUCUUUGAACGCACAUUGCGCCCGCCAGUAUUCUGGCGGGCAUGCCUGUCUGAGCGUCAUUUCAACCCUCAUGCCCCUAGGGCGUGGUGUUGGGGAUCGGCCAGCGCCCGCGAGGGACGGCCGGCCCCUAAAUCUAGUGGCGGACCCGUCGUGGCCUCCCCUGCGAAGUAGUGAUAUUCCGCAUAGGAGAGCGACGAGCCCCUACCGUUAAACCCCCAACUUUCUAAGGUUGACCUCAGAUCAGGUAGGAAUACCCGCUGAACUUAAGCAUAUCAAUAAGCGGAGGA
rnacentral:misc_RNA from 1 species